GCGGCGGAGGCGGGGCGGCACUGGCCAGGGGAAGGGGCGGGGCCGGGGCCGGAGCGCGCCCCACUGUCCCGGGAGGGGAGGGCGCGGCGUUGGUAGGGUCCCGCACGGUGGCGGGAACGGCCCACACGUGGGUCUGAGGGAACGGCACCGGCCAACCCGGGCGCGAUCCGGCGAGGGAGGCGGGACCGGGGUGGGGGAAUGCGGGAGCGAUCCUGGUACCUAGGGUCUUAGGGGGAGGGUUUGACAGCGAGUCUAGAAGUGUGCAAACGGGACUGGGAGCUGGGGAGCCGGAGGCCCGCAGCGAGGCUAGCGGAGCAGCAGGGAGGGUUGGGAACCGGAUGAAGAACGAAGAAGGCACGAACGCGCGGGACGCGCGCCGAGAGUUCUCGGGCCAGUGGGUGGUGCCCGCGCCAUUGGCGCGCUCUGAAGCCCGGUUGCUUUGCGGGUCUCACCAGGGUCUGUGCACGUCUGCCUAGCUGUGUGUCGCUCUGUCUGCGUGUCGGCAUCUUAUCUCUGCGUUCCUCGUCCCGUUACGGUGUCUGUUUACAUCUGUCUCACGUGUCUUUACCCUUCUGUAUCUGUCUCCGCGCCAGGCCGCUGUGUCUCGGUGUGGUUGUGUUCCCCGAGUCUCGCGUAUUUCAGGCUUUCCUGGUGUGGUAGAGGGGUUUAGAAACGGCCUACGGGCGCUCCCCGAGGCGGACUCCCGGCUGCGAGGCCGGCUGCCGGCGCGGAAAUCCGGACUCAAAGCGCCCGCCGAGCGACGCAGCUUCCCCGCCUCGGAGGCCCGCGCUGCGCUCGCCGUGUAGGAGGAAUGAAUGGCAGCGUCGCGGUGACGCGGGGAAGCCCGGAGCGCCUGAGGACGCGGCGCGCGCUGCUGUGUGUCCCGAGGGAGUGGGGUGGGGGUGACGCAAGGUGCCCCCCGCCCUUAUUGCCGGGGACACGGAAGGGUCCCCCCACGCACCGAUGGGAACCCGCGCUCUUCUUCCUCCACCCUCUGUGCCCUCACCGCACCCCCGCUCCGGCCGGCCGUCAGCCACAGCGUCACCUGCCCGCUCGCAGGGGCUCUGGCGCAAUCCCUGGACGUGGAGGGGCGGGAUGUCGCCCGUGUGGCCACAGUGACGACAUCCCCGAGAAGCCAGCAGGAGGAAGGCUGAAGCUGGAGGCCGAGGACCAGGACAGGACAGAGGGAGCUCAGCGGCGGUAGCAGAUAGUCCAGAAAAUUCCAUCCCCACUGGAAGUUAUGCAGCAAUAAGUUCCAUCCUGACCUGGCCUCUUUCUGGAGGAUCUUGAACUCAAGGUCCCUCAAUCAUGGUUUACAAAGAAUCAAUCUGUUGGUAUCUGUAACAUUUUAAGAAAAUAAGAUAAGCAAACUGAGUCUGAAUCCAGACUCUCUCUCACUACUCGCGACACCGUUCUGCCUCCUGCUUGGGGACCUGAGAUUCCGGGGCGGGCAGUGGCUCAGAAGGCAAGGGCAUGCUUCUCAGCCUCAUCUGGUGACCAUCCACAAGCACGGUCCAUGCCGGAGCAGGAGGAGGUCGGAGGGCGAGCUGGGCGUCAAGACAUAGAUUGCACAUUUGCCACUACCUCAAGAAGCCAUCCCCCUUUCAGGAGGCCUGGGAGGCAGGGAGCGGGGCCAUGGAACAGUAGUAGGGUUUAGGCCUGGGAGGAAGGAAAAGUCUUCUUGCUCCAUCGCCAUCUCCACGCUGCGAGCAGGACGAGUCAGCCCCUUCCCCCAGCAUAGAAAACAGUGGGCACUCUUCCACCAGCCGACUGCAGCAGCGCCAGGCCUGGUGACGGAGUGACAAUAUGGAAGGCAGAUGGCAGAUGCAUGGAUGCCACACUAUUGCCUCGCAGUUAAAUAUUGCUUAGUGUUUUUUUUUUUUUUUCUUGUAAACCUCCCAAAUAAAAUGGUUUGCUUUCCUCAAGUUAGAAGUGUU